GGGGAAUAUUGCACAAUGGGGGAAACCCUGAUGCAGCGACGCCGCGUGAGCGAUGAAGUAUCUCGGUAUGUAAAGCUCUAUCAGCAGGGGAAGAAAGUGACAGUACCUGACUAAGAAGCCCCGGCUAACUAC
rnacentral:rRNA from 1 species